rnacentral:rRNA from 1 species
AAGGCCUUCGGGUUGUAAAGCACUUUUAUCCGGAACGAAACGCGCCAGGCAAAUACCUUGGCGAACUGACGGUACCGGAGGAAUAAGCACCGGCUAACUUCGUGC